GGCAAUGUACUGCAAAGUAGUGAACAUAAUUUAUCGUGAGAUUUAUUAUUAGAUAUUAUGCUCAUUUCUUUGGAUAUGUUGUACG
rnacentral:pre_miRNA from 1 species